GACGAACGCUGGCGGCGUGCUUAACACAUGCAAGUCGAACGGAAAGGCCCUGCUUUUGUGGGGUGCUCGAGUGGCGAACGGGUGAGUAACACGUGAGUAACCUGCCCUUGACUUUGGGAUAACUUCAGGAAACUGGGGCUAAUACCGGAUAUGAGCUCCUGCUGCAUGGUGGGGGUUGGAAAGUUUCGGCGGUUGGGGAUGGACUCGCGGCUUAGCAGCUUGUGGGUGGGGUAGUGGCUUACCAAGGCUUUGACGGGUAGCCGGCCUGAGAGGGUGACCGGCCACAUUGGGACUGAGAUACGGCCCAGACUCCUACGGUGGGCAGCAGUGGGGAAUAUUGCACAAUGGGCGGAAGCCGGAUGCAGCAACGCCGCGUGCGGGAUGACGGCCUUCGGGUUGUAAACCGCUUUCGCCUGUGACGAAGCGUGAGUGACGGUAAUGGGUAAAGAAGCACCGGCUAACUACGUG
rnacentral:rRNA from 1 species